rnacentral:rRNA from 1 species
CACGUAGGGGGCAAGCGUUGUCCGGAUUUAUUGGGCGUAAAGAGCUCGUAGGUGGUUCGGUAAGUCGGGUGUUAAACCCCCAGGCUCAACCUGGGGACGCCACUCGAUACUGCUGUGACUUGAGUCCGGUAGGGGAGCGUGGAAUUCCUGGUGUAGCGGUGAAAUGCGCAGAUAUCAGGAGGAACACCAAUGGCGAAGGCAGCUCGCUGGAACGGAACUGACGCUGAGGCGCGAAAGCGUGGGGAGCGAACAGG